AGAGGGCGUGAAACCGCUUAGAAGGAAACGAGAGGCGCCGCUAGUUGUCAGCGAAAUUCAGCUGUUUCGUGUCGCCUUGUGGCAUGAGCAGUGCAUUUUUCGUUGGCUUGCACUGAGAGCUUUGCUGGAAUUGUUGUUGGCUGUGUGAAGGUAGGCACUUUUGUGCAAAUUUUCUCGCUGUCUACAUCUUUUUUCGGUAUUGUGUUUUGGCACCCUGAAUUGUUCGGCUGUGGUUGAGCACUUUUUCAUUUUUCUAUUUUGGCUUCUAGUCGGAGUGGGAGAAUGGGAAUUUGUGAGGCUUCCAGUUGAGUAGGUGCUGUUUCGGUGUUAAAGUCGGCUACCCUCCCGACCCGUCUUGAAACACGGACCAAGGAGUCUAUCAUGCACGCGAGUCAAUGGGUUUAUUAAACCUAAGGGCGCAAUGAAAGUAAAGGUCGGCUCGGUCGGCUGACACACGAUCCAUUCAGCUUGCUGUUCGGUGCAGUGUGGUCCCAUCUUAGAUGCUUGCCAUCGAGGUGGAGAUUGAGCGUGCAUGUUGGGACCCGAAAGAUGGUGAACUA
rnacentral:rRNA from 1 species